UCCAAUUUCGGUUUGACAAGCCACUAACUUUACCGGUGCGCUUUUACAAUCAUGGCAUUCAAAUCCCCAAUUUAUAUGAGCGGAAUGGAUGUUUGUGUUUUCAAUGGCCAUAUUAAAAUGGCAGAGUGGAAUCACGAGAAAGAAGGAGAAGAAGGAUUGGGUCUGGGUUUGUUUUGGAUUGCGCAUGGCACCAUACAUCUUGAGUUCAGAAAUGCUGCCGUUAUGUCAAGUGGGAAGAGUAUGAGGCGUUGCGAUCAUAACUCAUGCAGGGAGUAAAUGUAAUGCCAAGCCCUGAAGCCCGAAGGGAUUCAGGAAGGUUGAUCCAAACUGGUGGGAGUUUGCAAAUGAGUGGUUCCUAAGGAGCAGACACAUUUAUUGUUAAAUUUUGUGAGGAGAAAAUGCAACAAUAACUUUCCCUCUCAGAGUUCAUGUUCUGGAUUUCUGUUUCAGGGUUGGACCUAAUUUUCAAGUUUGCAACUUUAUAAUCCCAAAAGCCAGAAGAGAUUUAGGGCUUGACAUAGUCUAAAAGCCAUGGGAGAAGAUCAUGUGUACACAAAAGAUCGGAGGGUUGAAUCCAUUCCAGAUGAGGUUCUCAAAUUUUGAUUUGUUUUUAGUUUUUCCCCGUUCUCUUCUUUUUACUAAAACCUGUCUUCAUUUGUUUGUGUACAGCUCCUUUGCAUUCUCUGGCUCACACCCACUUAACAGUAAUUGGCUUAGGUGAUUUAUAUGAUCUCUUAUAUAUGCCAAUGUAAUUCAUACGUGAUCUGUAUGAUAUAGUAUUGUUUAAUGAUUACAUCAGUUUAAAUGGUUAGUUGUAGUUGGAGUAACCGUAUCGGAAUUGCUUAGUGAGGGUGCACUUGCUAUUGUUCGUUUCUUAUUCUUUCCUGUUGUUUGAAUUGUACUUAACUAUCUCAAUUAUUUUUGCACG